UACAGAGGGUGCAAGCGUUGUUCGGAAUCAUUGGGCGUAAAGGGCGCGUAGGCGGCCUUGUAAGUCGGAUGUGAAAGCCCAGGGCUCAACCUUGGAAGUGCAUCCGAAACUGCGAGGCUCGAAUCUCGGAGAGGGUGGUGGAAUUCCCAGUGUAGAGGUGAAAUUCGUAGAUAUGGGAGGAACACCAGUGGCGAAGGCGACCACCUGGACGAAGAUUGACGCUGAGGCGCGAAAGCGUGGGGA
rnacentral:rRNA from 1 species